AUUGAACGCUGGCGGCAGGCCUAACACAUGCAAGUCGAACGAGUGGCGGACGGGUGAGUAAUGUCUGGGAAACUGCCUGAUGGAGGGGGAUAACUACUGGAAACGGUAGCUAAUACCGCAUACCAUCAGAUGUGCCCAGAUGGGAUUAGCUUGUUGGUGGGGUAAAGGCUCCCCAGGGCGACGAUCCCUAGCUGGUCUGAGAGGAUGACCAGCGCCACGGUAAAUGAGACAGGGUCCAGACUCCUAAGGGAGGCAGAAGGGGGGAAUAUUGCACAAUGGGCGCAAGCCUGAUGCAGCCAUGCCGGGUGUAUGAAGAAGGCCUUCUGGUUGUAAAGUACUUUCAGCGGGGAGGCGUGACCCGCAGAAGAAGCACCGGCUAACUCCGUGCCAGCAGCCGCGUAAUUC
rnacentral:rRNA from 1 species